GUCCCCGUCGAUUAGUGGUCAAAUCAUGACGUUGUGGUUUUCUCACAAUACCGUCAAGCCGCCGGCUCGAAUCCGGCCGGGGACA